CACGUAGGAGGCAAGCGUUGUCCGGAUUUAUUGGGCGUAAAGAGCUCGUAGGCGGUUCGGUAAGUCGGGUGUGAAACCUCCAGGCUCAACCUGGAGGCGCCACCCGAUACUGCUGUGACUAGAGUCCGGUAGGGGAGCGUGGAAUUCCUGGUGUAGCGGUGAAAUGCGCAGAUAUCAGGAGGAACACCAGCGGCGAAGGCGGCGCUCUGGGCCGGAACUGACGCUGAGGAGCGAAAGCGUGGGGAGCAAACAGG
rnacentral:rRNA from 1 species